UACGAGGGGUGCAAGCGUUGCUCGGAAUUAUUGGGCGUAAAGGGUAGGUAGGUGGUCUCAUUUGUCUCAUGUGAAAUCCUUGGGCUUAACUCAAGAAGUGCGUGAGAAACGGUGUGACUCGAGUCUUGGAGAGGGUCGUGGAAUUCCCGGUGUAGCGGUGAAAUGCGUAGAGAUCGGGAGGAACACCAGAGGCGAAGGCGGCGACCUGGACAAGUACUGACACUCAGGGACGAAAGCUAGGGGAGCGAAUGGG
rnacentral:rRNA from 1 species